UACGAGUGCCUCGAGCGUUAUCCGGAAUCAUUGGGCGUAAAGCGUGUGUAGGCGGUCUUGUUAGUCUCCUGUAAAAUUCUUCGGCUUAACCGGGGGCGCGCGGGGGAUACGGCAAGACUAGAGGAUGCGAGAGGUGAAUGGAACUCUAAGUGUAGGGGUGAAAUCCGUUGAUAUUUAGGGGAACACCAAAUGCGAAGGCAAUUCACUGGCGCACUCCUGACGCUGAGACACUAAAGCGUGGGUAGCGAAUGGG
rnacentral:rRNA from 1 species